rnacentral:rRNA from 1 species
AUUGAACGCUGGCGGCAGGCCUAACACAUGCAAGUCGAGCGGCAGCGGGAAAGUAGCUUGCUACUUUUGCCGGCGAGCGGCGGACGGGUGAGUAAUGCCUGGGAAAUUGCCCAGUCGAGGGGGAUAACAGUUGGAAACGACUGCUAAUACAGCAUACGCCCUACGGGGGAAAGCAGGGGACCUUCGGGCCUUGCGCGAUUGGAAAUGCCCAGGUGGGAUUAGCUAGUUGGUGAGGUAAUGGCUCACAAAGGCGACGAUCCCUAGCUGGUCUGAGAGGAUGAUCAGCCACACUGGAACUGAGACACGGUCCAGACUCCUACGGGAGGCAGCAGUGGGGAAUAUUGCACAAUGGGGGAAACCCUGAUGCAGCCAUGCCGCGUGUGUGAAGAAGGCCUUCGGGUUGUAAAGCACUUUCAGCGAGGAGGAAAGGUUGAUGCCUAAUACGUAUCAACUGUGACGUUACUCGCAGAAGAAGCACCGGCUAACUCCGUGCCAGCCGCCGCCGUAA